AGAACGAACGCUGGCGGCAGGCUUAACACAUGCAAGUCGAACGCCCCGCAAGGGGAGUGGCAGACGGGUGAGUAACGCGUGGGAAUCUACCUGGUUCUACGGAAUAACUGAGGGAAACUUCAGCUAAUACCGUAUACGCCCUAAGGGGGAAAGAUUUAUCGGUGCCAGAUGAGCCCGCGUAAGAUUAGCUAGUUGGUGGGGUAAUGGCCUACCAAGGCGACGAUCUUUAGCUGGUCUGAGAGGAUGAUCAGCCACACUGGGACUGAGACACGGCCCAGACUCCUACGGGAGGCAGCAGUGGGGAAUAUUGGACAAUGGGCGAAAGCCUGAUCCAGCCAUGCCGCGUGAGUGAUGAAGGCCUUAGGUUGUAAAGCUCUUUCAGUGGGAGAUAAUGACGGUACCACAGAAGAAGCCCCGGCUAACUUCGCGCCAGCAGCCGC
rnacentral:rRNA from 1 species